rnacentral:rRNA from 1 species
UGGGGAAUCUUGCGCAAUGGGCGAAAGCCUGACGCAGCCAUGCCGCGUGAAUGAUGAAGGUCUUCGGAUUGUAAAAUUCUUUCACCGGGGACGAUAAUGACGGUACCCGGAGAAGAAGCCCCGGCUAACUUCGUGCCAGCAGCCGCGGUAAUACGAAGGGGGCUAGCGUUGCUCGGAAUUACUGGGCGUAAAGGGCGCGUAGGCGGAUCGUUAAGUCAGAGGUGAAAUCCCAGGGCUCAACCCUGGAACUGCCUUUGAUACUGGCGAUCUUGAGUAUGAGAGAGGUAUGUGGAACUCCGAGUGUAGAGGUGAAAUGCGUAGAUAUUCGGAAGAACACCAGUGGCGAAGGCGACAUACUGGCUCAUUACUGACGCUGAGGCGCGAAAGCGUGGGGAGCAAACAGG